UACGUAGGGUCCUAGCGUUGUCCGGAAUUAUUGGGCGUAAAGAGCUCGUAGGCGGUUUGUCGCGUCUGCUGUGAAAUCCCGAGGCUCAACCUCGGGUCUGCAGUGGGUACGGGCAGACUGGAGUGCGGUAGGGGAGAAUGGAAUUCCUGGUGUAGCGGUGGAAUGCGCAGAUAUCAGGAGGAACACCGAUGGCGAAGGCAGUUCUCUGGGCCGUAACUGACGCUGAGGAGCGAAAGCGUGGGGAGCGAACAGG
rnacentral:rRNA from 1 species